rnacentral:rRNA from 1 species
GUAGUCCACGCCGUAAACGAUGUCGACCAGCCGUUGGAUCCCUUGAGGAUUUAGUGGCGUAGUUAACGCAAUAAGUCGACCGCCUGGGGAGUACGGCCGCAAGGCUAAAACUCAAAUGAAUUGACGGGGGCCCGCACAAGCGGUGGAGCAUGUGGUUUAAUUCGAUGCAACGCGAAGAACCUUACCUGCUCUUGACAUCCUGCGAAUCUCCCAGAGAUGGGAGAGUGCCUUCGGGAGCGCAGAGACAGGUGCUGCAUGGCUGUCGUCAGCUCGUGUUGUGAAAUGUUGGGUUAAGUCCCGUAACGAGCGCAACCCUUAUCCUUACUUGCUAGCGGGUAAAGCCGAGAACU